UGGGAUGUUAUCUAGAACCUCUGCAGUAUGAGGUGUGUCACUAACCUCUGAAGCAUAGCUUGUUUCAGAUGUCUUGAAGAAGAUCCGACUAGCCUGCCGUCGAUCAGCACACCAAGAGGUCUCCUGAACAACCUUUGUCCCUUCUUGUCAUAUGGAGCUCAUUGCAAAAGUAAGGUGCCCUUACAUUGUGGAAUAGAAAUACUCUUGGGUGUAGAAGGGGUGCUACGUGUUGUUUUGUGAUCGGAUACUGCAGGGGAGGAGACAUCUAUGUAGCUUGUGAAGUAAGCUCUCAAAUGUAUUUGAACAUGUAAUGAAAUUGUGGUUAUUUUUGAUUCAUUGUAUAGGUUACAGGCCAUUAAAAGGUGUAACGCCAACCACUUUUUGGAAGAGGUGGCUUAAUUUGUCGGUAAUAUGUGAUGUUCAUUAGCUGCAGUUUCUGAUUAUUGAAAAUUUUGACUCCUUGUUGUGUCCAUUUUCUGCAAGCAGAAACUCUGUGUAUGCCUUGUGCAGCUCCUAAUAGCACUUUACUACUUGCAUGCUAAUGAUGUCCUUUAUCGCUAUGUGAAGGUUGUUAUGACACAUAACCUUUAUUAUGUCCUAUGAAAAAGCAGUUUAGAGCCUGGUGGUUAAUCACCAAGUAUUGCACUGUAUUGUUCUCACUGUUUAAAUAUAUUUAUUACAAAGGAAAAAAAAUAUGGCUUCGUAAGUAUGCUCUAUAAUAUUGAUGAGAAAAAAUACCUGGAGUAUGAACUACUUAAAAUUGCUGAUGACAAUAUCUUCUAUUCACAAUUUGCUGUCUGAAAUAGAUGAUUUUGGGCUCAUUAAAUUUUGGCUUUAUGUUGUUUCUCGUUCUAAGUUUAGGAACACCCAGCUAAAUGUUGCCUUAAACUUCUUCCGGAUAUUUCAUAUGGUUCCAAGUAAGAAAUGUGGUCGCUAGGUAGGUAUUCCUUUCUAAUAUUUAGUUGAGUGUCUUGAUCUCACUGUCCAACUGUCAUAAUGGCUAAAUAUCUGCAAUCUUCAAGCUAUUGGAUCUUUGAUAUGGAUGCACUGAAGCAUGCAUUCAAAGUAUUUUGUAAGUAACUAUGCUGACAUGCUCUUUUAGCUAUAGCUCCUUGCAAGUUGUAACACAUGUGAUGUUUCACCAAAGUUGCAUAUGCGAUUUUAGUAGGUAGGAGUGGCAGCAGGCUUAUUUAUCUUGUGUAUCCGUGUCUGCAUAUUAGAAAGGAAUACUAAAAGACUCACCAUGCUCUUUUAAGAUGGUUUUCAUAUUGAUUUACUUUUUUGAGUUAUGGCUC